rnacentral:rRNA from 2 species
UGGUGGGUAGUUUGACUGGGGCGGUCUCCUCCUAAAGAGUAACGGAGGAGCACGAAGGUUGGCUAAUCCUGGUCGGACAUCAGGAGGUUAGUGCAAUGGCAUAAGCCAGCUUGACUGCGAGCGUGACGGCGCGAGCAGGUGCGAAAGCAGGUCAUAGUGAUCCGGUGGUUCUGAAUGGAAGGGCCAUCGCUCAACGGAUAAAAGGUACUCCGGGGAUAACAGGCUGAUACCGCCCAAGAGUUCAUAUCGACGGCGGUGUUUGGCACCUCGAUGUCGGCUCAUCACAUCCUGGGGCUGAAGUAGGUCCCAAGGGUAUGGCUGUUCGCCAUUUAAAGUGGUACGCGAGCUGGGUUUAGAACGUCGUGAGACAGUUCGGUCCCUAUCUGCCGUGGGCGCUGGAGAACUGAGGGGGGCUGCUCCUAGUACGAGAGGACCGGAGUGGACGCAUCACUGGUGUUCGGGUUGUCAUGCCAAUGGCACUGCCCGGUAGCUAAAUGCGGAAGAG